GUGAAAUUAAAUUAUCUGCCAAUAAUACUCCGUUGUUUUUACUUGUGUGUUGUCAGACUUAUGACACGUAUGACGUUCCAUAGUUCCAAAACUUUCUUUUUCAGUCCAAGGGAAAUAAAUCAAUAACCUUCCAAUAUGAAUCCUAUAAAUGAACCUAUAUAAAACGUAUGCACGUGAUCACUAACAACCAAUCACUGCACUGGUCACUUUUUAAGUCAAAUUUCAAGAUGUCUGUUGCAUUUUAAGCCGCUCAUAUAUUUUGUGCAUUUUUGUAUAUCAACUGGAACUUAUAUAUUUCCAGGAUACUGAUACCGAUACCGAUACACAAGUAUCUCUGUUUAUCAUCUUUAUUAUCGUGAUCUUGAUAUAAGAAGGAAACAUUAAAUCAAUUAUUACAGUC